rnacentral:rRNA from 1 species
ACGGAGGGAGAUAGCGUUGUUCGGAAUUACUGGGCGUAAAGCGCAAGUAGGCGGCUUUGUAAGUCAGAGGUGAAAGCAUGGAGCUAAACUCCAGAACUGACUUUGAGACUGCAUCGCUUGAAUCCAGGAGAGGUGAGUGGAAUUCCGAGUGUAGAGGUGAAAUUCGUAGAUAUUCUGAAGAGCACCAGUGGCGAAGGCGUCUCACUGGACUGGUAUUGACGCUGAGGUGCGAAAGCGUGGGGAGCAAACAG